UACGUAGGGCGCAAGCGUUGUCCGGAAUUAUUGGGCGUAAAGAGCUCGUAGGCGGCCUGUCGCGUCGGAUGUGAAAGCCCGGGGCUCAACCCCGGGUCUGCAUUCGAUACGGGCAGGCUAGAGUGUGGUAGGGGAGAUCGGAAUUCCUGGUGUAGCGGUGAAAUGCGCAGAUAUCAGGAGGAACACCGAUGGCGAAGGCAGGUCUCUGGGCCACUACUGACGCUGAGAAGCGAAAGCAUGGGGAGCGAACAGG
rnacentral:rRNA from 1 species